rnacentral:rRNA from 1 species
UACGUAGGGUGCGAGCGUUGUCCGGAAUUAUUGGGCGUAAAGAGCUCGUAGGCGUUUGUCGCGUCUGCCGUGAAAGUCCGGGGCUCAACUCCGGAUCUGCGGUGGGUACGGGCAGACUAGAGUGAUGUAGGGGAGACUGGAAUUCCUGGUGUAGCGGUGAAAUGCGCAGAUAUCAGGAGGAACACCGAUGGCGAAGGCAGGUCUCUGGGCCACUACUGACGCUGAGAAGCGAAAGCAUGGGGAGCGAACAGG